UAAGGAAUAUUGGUCAAUGGGCGGAAGCCUGAACCAGCCAUGCCGCGUGCAGGAAGACGGCCCUACGGGUUGUAAACUGCUUUUGUACCGGAAUAAACCUUGAUUCGUGAAUCAAGCUGAAUGUACGGUAAGAAUAAGGAUCGGCUAACUCCGUGCCAGCAGCCGCGGUAAUACGGAGGAUCCAAGCGUUAUCCGGAUUUAUUGGGUUUAAAGGGUGCGUAGGUGGCUUAUUAAGUCAGGGGUGAAAGACGGUAGCUUAACUAUCGCAGUGCCUUUGAUACUGAUGAGCUUGAAUCCACUAGAGGUAGGCGGAAUGUGACAAGUAGCGGUGAAAUGCAUAGAUAUGUCACAGAACACCAAUUGCGAAGGCAGCUUACUAUGGUGGUAUUGACACUGAGGCACGAAAGCGUGGGGAUCAAACAGG
rnacentral:rRNA from 1 species